CUACGGGGGGCAGCAGUGGGGAAUAUUGCACAAUGGGCGCAAGCCUGAUGCAGCCAUGCCGCGUGUAUGAAGAAGGCCUUCGGGUUGUAAAGUACUUUCAGCGGGGAGGAAGGGAGUAAAGUUAAUACCUUUGCUCAUUGACGUUACCCGCAGAAGAAGCACCGGCUAACUCCGUGCCAGCAGCCGCGGUAAUACGGAGGGUGCAAGCGUUAAUCGGAAUUACUGGGCGUAAAGCGCACGCAGGCGGUUGGUUAAGUCAGAUGUGAAAUCCCCGGGCUCAACCUGGGAACUGCAUCUGAUACUGGCAAGCUUGAGUCUCGUAGAGGGGGGUAGAAUUCCAGGUGUAGCGGUGAAAUGCGUAGAGAUCUGGAGGAAUACCGGUGGCGAAGGCGGCCCCCUGGACGAAGACUGACGCUCAGGUGCGAAAGCGUGGGGAGCAAACAGGAUUAGAUACUCCGGUAGUC
rnacentral:rRNA from 1 species